CGGGCCUCGGCCAGGCCUGAGAGGCCGGGAGGGUUUGACCCUGGGGCUGCAUGGACAGCUUAGCGCUCGGCCGCUGGCGACGGCGGAGGGCGGAGGAUCUGCAGGUUCCGGGGGACGUGAAACGGGUAUGCAGGAGAUUAGAAGCCAGUGGGCACGAGCGUGGCUGCCACCAGGUGAAUGCCUGUGCCCUGGCGUCCUGGGGCCCAGAGGACCGGGAGCUUCCAUCAAGAGGCUGCCCCCCAGCACCAAGGCCAGAAAGUGGCCAGGGGAGGCUAAGUACAGGGAUUUCUCAGAAUGGUGGAAGGAGCUCAGCCCAGCCUUGCCCAAGAUGUAUUGCAGGGGAAUCUGGACAUUUUAGCCAUACCAAGAAUCAUUAGAAGAUGCAAGCUGGAAAAAAGAAGGUCCCAGUUUUGGUUUUGAACCCUUCAUGUUGCAGCAAAUGUGAAUCUCCUACAGAUGGGUUUGGGGACUUACCUGUUCAAAUAGCAGCCCGGUGUCCUCUGUGGGUGGGGGGAGGUUUGUCUGUCCUUUCAUUCUAGUAAAUCCACCAUCCUCUGCACGAGAGCCAGGAGAAUCCACAUCACUUCAAAAGAGCCCCCAAAUCCUUACGUACUACAGCCUCCUUUCGAAUGUUCCUGGUUGAGAGGGAGAUCAAUUGCAUUAUUUACAAGUCAAAAAAUUUUGUAUCAAACUUCCUAUGAGCUUGGGCACUGAUGGCCUAUGGAGGCCCACCCAGACGCAGCCCUGCCAUCAUGCUUUUUCAUUGUUUUGUGGAUGUACCCAGGGCUAUUUACACACUCUUUCAUUAAAA
rnacentral:lncRNA from 1 species